AGUUUUAUUGCAAACUGUUUUUAUUUUUACUUUAAAUCAAAUUUUAAAGUUCUUUUCUUUUAUUGCUAUUCUUUUCUAAUUCAUUUAAUGAUUAUUUUCUUUUCUUUUAUGUAAAGCACUUGAAAUUACCAUUGCGUAUGAAAUGUGCUAUGAAAUUUGGGUCCUUCUCCACUGGUAAGGUAGGUUUUUAACUUUUGUAUUGUUUUUGAAACACGAUUGGUUCAUACUGUAUACUAGUUUUUGCUGUUUGUAGUGUUGAUUGCAGAAGGAUUGAAGUGGGUCUAAAGCAAUUUGUUCUCGGGUAAUUAAUCAAGAGUAGUUUCAGACUCCGUCCACACGAAGGCGGUGCGUUCCCUAUCCGAUCAUUUUUGUUCGUGAACACGGCGUCGUCUCAAGAAAUAUCUGCGUACACACGAAACCACUGAAAACGGUGUAAUAUAUGUCAGACCAGUAUGGGGCGCUGUAAUUCUGCCAUAGAGAUACACUAUACACGGAGAAGAAGACUUUGAGCAUGCGCAUAACCUUGCGCGCUGUAUACGAACCAAGAUGGUGUUGUCCAUUAUCGCUUGUUGCUCAUAACAGUUGCAUAGAAGCAGUAGAUUUUGCUGUAAUAAAGCUAGUAGGAUUUGUAGCAACACAAACACAAUCAUGUAGUCCGCCAUUAUUGUCGUUGCUGUUACGUGUGACGCAGCCGACACGUGAUGUGAUGACAUCAUCGUUUCACAAAAUAUACGGAUUGGCCGUACACACGAAGACGCAAGGGUGUCGUUUUCAGAUUUAUCCACUUUGGGACCCGGUUUAAAAAAAUAGCGGUUUCAGUCUCCUAAAACGCUGACUCUGACUGCUGACGAUUUUGCCACAUUCUACGAUGGAAAGAUUGCAGCAAUCCGCCUGUCCUUCGCUCCCAAACAAACUCCUACGGCAGAACCUCAGGAACUUCCCUUCCCUCCCUUAGCAGAAUUCUCCAACCUGUCAUCUGAUAAGAUUCAGCAGAUCAUCUCGUCAUAAAACCCCACCACCUGUUCAUUACACCCAAUCCCUUCCACAAUGCUCCAGGCCAUCUCACGAGACCUCCUUCCCUUCACCACAACCAUCAUCAACCAUUCCAUAUCAUCUGGUCAUGUUCCUGCUGCUUUUAAAAAGGCAAGGGUUAUUCCCAUCCUCAAGAAUCCUUGCCUGGACCCAUCAGAAGUUAACAACUAUUGCCCGGUAUCACUUCUCUCUUUUAUUUCCAAAAUUCUUGAAAAAACUGUUUAUAACCAAAUGUCUCUUUAUCUCUCACAGAACAACCUAAAUGAUCUCAAACAAUCUGGAUUCAAAGUGGCACAUUCCACAGAGACUGACGUUCUGUCAGUCACUUAGAAGCUCCAUGCUGCUAGAUCUGCUAAACUUUCAUCUGUCCUCAUCCUCCUGGACCUGUCAGCUGCAUUUGACACGAUAGGUCAUAUGAGGUAACAUGGCGGGGAUCUACAUCUGCCCCACGUAGACUCUCUACUGUUGUCCCGCAGGGCUCAGUACUUGGUCCUCUCCUGUUCUCCCUCUAUACCCGGUCUCUUGGUUUCCACCCGGAUCUCAACAUGUCUGGCAGACCUCUCAUACUGGAUGGCUGCUCAUCAGCUGAAGCUCAAUCUGAGUAAAACCAAACUGUUGUUCAUUUCUUGUGACUUAUCCCCAUGUCAAGACCUUGUGAUAUCCCUGGACAACAACCAAAUCACUCCUUCAGCCACCGCAAUCAUCUGACAU